UACAGAGGUGGCAAGCGUUGCUCGGUAUCACUGGGCUUAAAGGGCGCGUAGGCGGUGCGGUGCGGUUUCGGUGAAAUCCCUCGGCCCAACCGAGGAACAGCCGGGGCUACGGCCGUGCUAGACGGCAUCAGGGGACAGUGGAACUCCCGGUGGAGCGGUGAAAUGCGUAGAUAUCGGGAGGAACGCCGGUGGCGAAAGCGACUGUCUGGGGUGCUUGUGACGCUGAGGCGCGAAAGCCAGGGGAUCAAACGGG
rnacentral:rRNA from 1 species